GGCCGAGUUGAGGCGGUACGUUCACCUCGUCCAGGUGCGAAGGCGCGGGUUACUUCCACUGGUAAUGGAGAGGCUGCGGGUUCGAAUCCCGUCACCA
rnacentral:tRNA from 2 species